AGUUCGCGUGCGAUUUGAGUAGUUUAGGUUUUUUUUCAAGAAACCUAAACUGCUCAAACACUGCAGUCUUGCU
rnacentral:pre_miRNA from 1 species